AAAAUCUUAGUAUAAUGAGUAUAAUUUAUUGUCAAUAAAUAGGUUAGUGAUUUUA
rnacentral:tRNA from 1 species